rnacentral:lncRNA from 1 species
AUCCAGCUACAUGAGGCCAAUAACUUGGCUCAUCUGAAUGAGGUGAUGGCACAUGACUUUCAAAUGGAAACGCCUAUUGGGAGGAGGAAAUCCUUGAGAAGAUGAGGUAUUAGGCUCACUCCAAAGAUCUUGAGCAGGAGGUUAAGAUGUAUUUUACGUUUUCUAGGUCUAUAGAUCGUACCAUAGAUCGGGUGGUCUUUUAUCCGAUAGAGGACGAGCAGACUCAGGACUCC